AACGAACGCUGGCGGCAUGCCUAACACAUGCAAGUCGAACGAGACCUUCGGGUCUAGUGGCGCACGGGUGCGUAACGCGUUGGAACCUGCCCUUAGGUUCGGAAUAACUCCCCGAAAGGGAUGCUAAUACCGGAUAAUGUCUUCGGACCAAAGAUUUAUCGCCUUUGGAUGGGCCCGCGUUGGAUUAGCUAGUUGGUAGGGUAAAAGCCUACCAAGGCGACGAUCCAUAGCUGGUCUGAGAGGAUGAUCAGCCACACUGGGACUGAGACACGGCCCAGACUCCUACGGGAGGCAGCAGUGGGGAAUAUUGGACGAUGGGCGAAAGCCUGAUCCAGCAAUGCCGCGUGAGUGAUGAAGGCCUUAGGGUUGUAAAGCUCUUUUACCCGGGAUGAUAAUGACAGUACCGGGUGAAUAAGCUCCGGCUAACUCCGU
rnacentral:rRNA from 1 species